rnacentral:rRNA from 1 species
UAGCCUACGGGGGGCAGCAGUGGGGGAUAUUGCACAAUGGGGGAAACCCUGAUGCAGCGACGCCGCGUGGGCGAAGAAGUAUUUCGGUAUGUAAAGUCCUAUCAGCAGGGAAGAAGAAAUGACGGUACCUGAGUAAGAAGCACCGGCUAAAUACGUGCCAGCAGCCGCGGUAAUACGUAUGGUGCAAGCGUUAUCCGGAUUUACUGGGUGUAAAGGGAGCGCAGGCGGCACGGCAAGCCUGAUGUGAAGGCACGCGGCCCAACCGUGGGACUGCAUUGGGAACUACAGGGCUGGAGUGCAGGAGG